GAUCAUGGCUCAGGAUGAACGCUAGCUACAGGCUUAACACAUGCAAGUCGAGGGGCAUCAGGGUGUAGCAAUACACCGCUGGCGACCGGCGCACGGGUGAGUAACACGUAUCCAACCUGCCCUUUACUCGGGGAUAGCCUUUCGAAAGAAAGAUUAAUACCCGAUGGUAUAACAUGACCUCCUGGUUUUGUUAUUAAAGAAUUUCGGUAGAGGAGUGGGGAUGUCGUUCCAGUUAGGCAGGUUGGGACGGGGUAACCGG
rnacentral:rRNA from 1 species